rnacentral:rRNA from 1 species
UACAGAGGUCCCAAGCGUUGUUCGGAUUCACUGGGCGUAAAGGGUGCGCAGGUGGGUUUGCAAGUUCGAUGUGAAAGCCCCGGGCUUAACCCGGGAAUGGCAUUGGAUACUGCAGAUCUGGAGGAUCGGAGGGGGGACUGGAAUUCCUGGUGUAGCGGUGAAAUGCGCAGAUAUCAGGAGGAACACCGGUGGCGAAGGCGGAUCUCUGGGCCAUAACUGACGCUGAGGAGCGAAAGCAUGGGGAGCGAACAGG